rfam:Candidatus Gottesmanbacteria bacterium RIFCSPHIGHO2_01_FTLL_40_15 rifcsphigho2_01_scaffold_969, whole genome shotgun sequence.
GCCGCCCUAGCUUAGUGGAAAAGCGGCGGUUUUGUAAACCGUUGACCGGAGUUCGAUUCUCCGGGGCGGCU